AAAUGAAUUGACGGGGGCCCGCACAAGCAGUGGAGCAUGUGGUUUAAUUCGAUGCAACGCGAAGAACCUUACCCAGGCUCGAAAUGUAAUAGACGUAACCAGAGAUGGUUAUUUCCGCAAGGACUGUUAUAUAGGUGCUGCAUGGCUGUCGUCAGCUCGUGCCGUGAGGUGUUUGGUUAAGUCCAGCAACGAGCGCAACCCUUAUCAUUAGUUGCCAACGCGUUAAGGCGGGGACUCUAGUGAGACUGCCUGGGUUAACCAGGAGGAAGGUGAGGAUGACGUCAAGUCCGCAUGGCCUUUAUGUCUGGGGCUACACACGUGCUACAAUGGUCGGUACAGAAGGCAGCAAGACCGCAAGGUGGAGCAAAUCCGUAAAGCCGAUCACAGUUCAGAUUGUAGUCUGCAACUCGACUACAUGAAGUUGGAAUUGCUAGUAAUGACGUGUCAGCUACAACGUCGUGAAUACGUUCCCGGGCCUUGUACACACCGCCCGU
rnacentral:rRNA from 1 species